AAUGAACGUUGGCGGCGUGGAUUAGGCAUGCAAGUCGUGCGGAAAGGCUCCUUCGGGAGUACUCGAGCGGCGUAAGGGAGAGUAACGCGUGGAUAUCUACCCCCUGGACUGGGAUAGCGGCGGGAAACUGCCGGUAAUACCAGAUAAUGUCUGCGGACCAAAGGUGUGAUUCCGCCGGGGGAUGAGUUCGCGUCCUAUUAGCUAGUUGGUAGGGUAAUGGCCUACCAAGGCAAAGAUGGGUACCGGGUGUGAGAGCAUGGCCCGGCUCACUGGGACUGAGACACUGCCCAGACACCUACGGGUGGCUGCAGUCGAGAAUCGUCGGCAAUGGGCGCAAGCCUGACCGAGCGACGCGGCGUGCGGGAUGAAGGCCUUCGGGUUGUAAACCGCUGUCAGAGGGGAGGAAAUGCGUGGGAGUUCUCUCUCACGUUUGACCUAUCCUCAGAGGAAGUACGGGCUAAGUUCGUGCCAGCAGCCGCCGUAACAC
rnacentral:rRNA from 1 species